AUUGAACGCUGGCGGCAUGCUUUACACAUGCAAGUCGAACGGUAACAGGCCGCAAGGUGCUGACGAGUGGCGAACGGGUGAGUAAUGCAUCGGGACGUGCCCAGUCGUGGGGGAUAACUGCUCGAAAGAGCAGCUAAUACCGCAUACGAUCUACGGAUGAGAGAGGGGGACCGUAAGGCCGCGCGCGAUUGGAGCGGCCGCUGUCAGAUUAGGUAGUUGGUGGGGUAAAGGCUCACCAAGACAACGAUCUGUAGCUGGUCGGAGAGGACGACCAGCCACACUGGGACUGAGACACGGCCCAGACUCCUACGGGAGGCAGCAGUGGGGAAUUUUGGACAAUGGGGGCAACCCUGAUCCAGCAAUGCCGCGUGCAGGAAGAAGGCCUUCGGGUUGUAAACUGCUUUUGUACGGAACGAAACGGUCUGGGUUAAUACCCUGGGCUAAUGACGGUACCGUAAGAAUAAGCACCGGCUAACUACGUGCCAGCCGCCGCCGUAACAC
rnacentral:rRNA from 1 species